rnacentral:rRNA from 1 species
AGGAUGAACGCUGGCGGCGUGCUUAACACAUGCAAGUCGAACGAUGAAGGCUGGAGCUUGCUCUGGCUGGAUUAGUGGCGAACGGGUGAGUAACACGUGAGUAACCUGCCCCAGACUCUGGGAUAAGCGCUGGAAACGGCGUCUAAUACCGGAUACGAGCUUCCACCGCAUGGUGAGGAGCUGGAAAGAAUUUCGGUCUGGGAUGGACUCGCGGCCUAUCAGCUGUGUGAGUAUGGCUCACAAGGCGACGACGGGUAGCCGGCCUGAGAGGGUGACCGGCCACGACUCGGGACUGGAGACACGGCCCAGACUCCGUACGGGAGCAGCAGUGGGAAUGUGCACGAAGUGGGACGCAAGCCUAGAUCGCAAGACCAACGCCGCGUA